UUCUACAUGGUCAGCAGAUGCUUUUCAGUCCCUUCAGACCGAAUGAGCAAAUCGUUGUGUUUGCACGAGUCUAACUAAUAGAAACAUCACGCUAAUAUUCACCUCAGCUCGACAGCGACCCGCCGUUUCAGCCUCAAUGAGGCCAUUUCACAUUCAGACACUCAGCAUAAUGAAAGGCAAUAUCUAGGAAAUCCAAUUUUAUAUCAAUUGCAGCCUUUAGAUGCAGAAUAAUAAGUAAAAAUCUAAAGGGAAAUUACGAGGCGAGGCUAUUAUAAUGCAGACAACCUCCUAGAAAGACAACUGUUUGUGUUUUUAAAGCAGUGAUAUUUCUCAAUCAGGUUUGAUUUGGUUCGUUGUUCAUGAGUUUUCUAGCAGCUUUUCUAUCAGAAUCUACUUGUAAAGCCUCGCAAGGCCACGUCAACACAAUUUCCUAAACGCAUUCAGAAUGAAAAACAUGCAUAUGAGCAUUCAAGCCGGACAAACCAAUUCAUGAAGUUCUUAAGCUCGUCCUUAAAUCCAGACUGCAGUAAAUCCCAUAUUGCAGCUCAACUGCAAACGUCGGCCUGUGUUUUCUGCUUCGUUCCGCUGCAUUUCCAUCCGCUCAUUCAUGUCUCAUCCAGGCAGUCAAAGGAUCCAUUGAUGGCUCCAUCGCUCCUCUGUGGGCUCCUGCUGCGGGUCGAGUCCCGGCGGGUGUGAAGCUUCAUCCCACAUCUGACCGCUGGACGAAGGAUCAGUCAUUCCUCAGGUGACAGAUCGACGAGUGUUACAGAGGACAGCGGGUCAGAGGUCAUCUGCUCAUGUGAUUUGAAUGACAGGAGUGCUGUGUAUAGAUAAAAGGCUGUACUUAGAGCAGCGCUGUUUAGUGACUGGGAGAAUCAGGCUGUUUAAGGCCAUGUCUGAUGCUAAAACAUGUAGAAAGGAGUGUGGAAAAGAAGUGGCCAUCUAGAUGACAGGCGACUGGUCAGGAACAGCCUAAAGAACAAAGAAAGUCAUACAAGUUCGUAACGACAUGAAGGAAUGAAACUGAAGUCUGCUGAGUUAUGAAAGAGCAACUUCUGAAGAACCAAAUAUUCCUCUGGAAAACCUCUGAAGCUUCAGACAUGUUUUCCAGCAGGCUCCCCCUCCUUCCAGCCUCCUUCUCUUCACUGUUGGCUUUAUCAAGGUCAUCUCUGCUGCUGCUCCCAUCUGCUCUGCAGCAACAGCGCCUCCGUCUGGACCAACACAGGUAUUUCAUUUAUGAGCUUGCUCAAUGUGAUUUUUUUUUUUUUUUUUUAUGUUUCACAGUGUAUUUGUUUUUU
ensembl:lncRNA